rnacentral:rRNA from 1 species
AUUGAACGCUGGCGGCAGGCCUAACACAUGCAAGUCGAACGAGUGGCGUACGGGUGAAUAAUGUCUGGGAAACUUCCCGAUGGAGGGGGAUAACUACUGGAACCGGUAGCUAAUACCGCAUACCAUCGGAUGUGCCCAUAUGGGAUUAGCUAGUAGUGGGGGUAACGGCUCACCUAGGCGACGAUCCCUAGCUGGUCUGAGAGGAUGACCAGCCACACUGGAACUUAGACACGGUCCAGAUGCCUACGGGAGGCAGCAGUGGGGAAUAUUGCACAAUGGGCGCAAGCCUGAUAGAGCCAGGCCGCGUGUAUGAAGAAGGCCUUCGGGUUGUAAAGUACUUUCGGCGAGGAGGCGUUACUCGCAGAAGAAGCACCGGCUAACUCCGUGCCAGCAGCCGCGGUAAUAC